rnacentral:rRNA from 1 species
CGUAAACAAAGGGAAGCGAAGUGGUGACAUGGAGCAAAUCCCAAAAAUAACGUCCCAGUUCGGAUUGUAGUCUGCAACCCGACUACAUGAAGCCGGAAUCGCUAGUAAUCGCGGAUCAGAAUGCCGCGGUGAAUACGUUCCCGGGUCUUGUACACACCGCCCGUCACACCAUGGGAGUUGGAAAUGCCCGAAGUCAGUGGCCCAACCGGAAGGGGGGAGCUGCCGAAGGCAGGUUCGAUGACUGGGGUGAAGUCGUAACAAGGUAAC